CUAGAAGGAAAAGGAAGAGGAGGAGCGGGAGGAAUUUUUUUGCGGGGGAGGAGGUGUUUGGAUCUUGUAGGAGUCUAAAGCUGAGCCGCAAAUGAGCCUUGGGCGGAUCUUGGAAGGAUUUCCCAAUCCCAAACUUUGUCCGGAUGGAAGAGGAGGCUGCGAGGAAGAUGCCCCGGGACCCCCAGGCAGGCACUGAGCUGCAGAUGGAGACCAGGGGGAACAAAUCCCUGUGGCAGAACCUCGUGGAAGAGGCCGCUUUGAGCACCUCCUCGGCGUAGGAAUGGAUGCCCGAAAGAUAGGCUGCAAAUAAAUCCCCAUAGACCGAUGUCUAUAGAGCAGCUGCAGCAGCAGAGCAAGGGUGGGGAAGGCACCCUGGUUGUUUUCAGACAGGCUUUUUUCAGGUCCUUUUCCUUUCUCCAGAGAGAGAUGGAGAGUUGAACUUUUGUUUUCCUGGAACUUUGGUUUUUUUCCUUUUUUUUUUCUCUUCUGGACUAUUUCAACAUCAGAAUACAUCGGGAGGACUUUCCACUGGGCCUUGGCUCUAGAGGGGGGCCCACCACCCCAUCCCAGCUCCAAGGAGGGAGAGAGAGAGAUCUACGGGAGGACUCUGAACUUAUCCCAGGUUUUUCUCUCAGCAGAGUGAGAGGUUAUGUUAUUUUGCAUUAUUAUUCUUUUCCUGUGUGUUUGUUAAAUAAAUAGUUUUUAUCUCUUU